CACGCAGUAAACGAUGAUUACUAGCUGUUUGCGAUACACAGUAAGCGGCACAGCGAAAGCGUUAAGUAAUCCACCUGGGGAGUACGCCGGCAACGGUGAAACUCAAAGGAAUUGACGGGG
rnacentral:rRNA from 1 species